rnacentral:tRNA from 1 species
GCGGACAUCGUAUAAUGGCUAUUACCUCAGCCUUCCAAGCUGAUGAUGCGGGUUCGAUUCCCGCUGCCCGCUCCA